UAACCGCAUCAGGUCUCCAAGGUUUGUAGCCUCUGGUCGAUAGAGCAAAGUAGGUAAGGGAAGUCGGCAAAGUAGAUCCGUAACUUCGGGAAAAGGAUUGGCUCUGAGGGUUGGGUCUAGGGGUUUGCGUUUUGAAGCCUUGGGCGUUACGAGGACUACCUCACGGUGGGCCUCGUUGGUCCCUCGGUCGAUGGGCGCAAAAGACCUAGGCGACGAACAACCGACUCAGAACUGGUACGGACAAGGGGAAUCCGACUGUUUAAUUAAAACAAAGCAAAGUGAUGGUCGUAAA
rnacentral:rRNA from 1 species